GCUCCAUUUACCUGUGGGUGAAGAGAUGGAGAAGAAUGCAUUUAGAAUCUGGACAUGACCAGAGGGAGAAAGUCAACAUUUUGGGGACUUGUCUGGGAUUCCAGAGAACAACACUGACGGCUUCAUGGCAGGUGAGCAACCAGUUGCUGGCACCCGACAUAGAGCCACUUUGGCUGCUGUCUUGCUUUCCAAUUUGAAUGCUUAGGGAGGACGUUUCCUGACUAGCCACUCUAGAGGCAGCCCUUCCAACUUCUCUCACUUCUGAGCUCCCCUAGGGUGCACAGAAGCAUAAGAGCCCCCCACCAAGUAUAGGCAUCCCUAAGUCGGUGACACCACACACUGCCAAAAGGGUAUGCAAGAGUUUAUUACUUCCAUAAAUGAUGUCUCUGGGAAGUAAGGCAGGCCUCUCAAGGCAUGAAAUGAAAGAGCAUGGAAAAGCACAUGGACUUGUUUUGUUCAGGUUGUGAGUGGACUAAAGUGAGUUCACUCACAGGGGCAGCAGCUUGCAUGGACUGAAUCUUUUGCCACCCCCAAAGGAGAAAGCACGAAGUCUUCCUUAUCACCCUGGAUAAAUGUGGGGCACAAGAAGGAGGAGGCUGAGGCUUUAAAGCUGUCAGCAGUCGAUCAUCAAAAACUGGAGUCAGAUUUCUUUUGCUUUUUUUUUUUCUCUCCUGUCUGUCAUAUAGUAAACUUAGUAGCUGUUGUUCCCAGCCUCACAACACAAAAGCAAAAAACCUAAAAUGAACAACCUUCUUGGGUCUAUCAGAAAACUGAGGACAUGGGGAAACCACCAUCUCCAAAACUGGAGAGACACAAAAAAAAGCUAUUUUAUAAUAUGAUCAGAAUAUUCUAUAGUUAAAAAAACCUGUCCUUAAAAUAACCUGUUUCACUAGGGCCUAACCAAAGACAAUAAAGAACAUAAUAUCCAAGAACUGUGUGACACUGUCAUUGUAAAAUGACAGCUGUAACAUACACAUAAUAGGAAUACUUGAUAGAAAAAAAAGGCAGAAAGGAACAGAAGAAAUAAGUGAAGCAAUAAUCACUGAGGUUUUCCUAACAUUAGUGACAGACAGCAAAAUGUAGAUCCAGUAAGCUAAGAGAACAUAAAACAUGAAAACAAACAAAACAUGAAAAAAAAAACAACCCAAAAAUGCACACCCAAGCAUAUUAUAUUCAAAGUGGAGAAAAAUCAAAGACAAAGAUAAUUUACUGAAAAAAAACUAAAGAGGAAAAAACAAACCUUAGUUAUACUGAAACAAGGAUAAGAAUUGGAUUUAUUUUCAGAGACCAUGCAAGCAAGAAGACAGUAGAGUGAAAUAUUUAAAAUGCUGCAAUUUAAAAAAACAACAAACCAAUAUCCUAUGAUUCUGUGUCAAGCAAAAUUAUUCAAAAGUGAGAGAGAAAUAAAGACUUUCCGAGAUAAAAACUGAGAGAAUCUGACAUCAAUACCUGUUUUGCAAGAAAUGUUAAAAGAAAAUGAUCAGAAAAAAGAUAAAUGAUAGAGGUGGAGCAUCAAAAAAAGGGAUUAAUGAAGAUAAAAUAUAUUACCCUUGUAAUAUAUAUAAAAUAUACAUUAUUAUUCUUUUUUUUAUUUGUACUUAAUCUGAUAUUACUCUGUUCAAGGAUAAGUGAAACAAAUGACAACAAUGUUAAAAGAGACAGAGGGAGGAAUUGAAAAUAUACGUGACCCUUGAACAUCUAUGGGUUUGAACUGUGUGGGUCCUCUUAUAUGUGGAUUUUUUUCAGUACAGUUGGCCCACUUAUACUUGGAUUUUUAAAGCCUCCUGUAUAAUUCUCCAGGCCCUCCUGCAGAUAAUCAGAAAUGUAAACACAGUCCACAACUGCCAGAGACUAAAGGAACCAAAGGGAAGAAAUGGAAAGGAGAGCCUUUUGAAAAAGUUCCCUUAUCUAAGCCCCUGUACUCCCCCCAACCCGCCAUGCUUACUUAAAAAUUAUGUGUCAAGGACAAAUACAAAUCUUAAAGGUCUUCUUUAAAAGUGGUAAAAGCCUUGCCAUCUGAACAUAUAAACCUAACUUAUUCCAACUGUAAUAAGUUAGUGAGUUUUUUUGCCUUAUUAUACUUGUCUCAUGGCUGAAAUUUUAAAAAUGAAACUAUCAGGUCUCUGGUUGCAUCUGUCUAUAUAUAUGUGUGUGUGUGUCUACCUGCAGAGCAUAUUAACAAAAUUGUUUUAUAGAAUGCUCUGUUUAACUUAAAAAAAUUAAGUGCUUAUAUAAAUUAAGAAAUAUAACAGAAACUAACCCAAAUAUUUUUCAGGCUCUGGAAAAAUAUUUGAUAUUAAAGUUCAU